rnacentral:rRNA from 2 species
ACAUACGACCAUACCCAUCCCAUCGGAAAACUCGGGAUCCCGUCCGCUCUCCCAUAGAUAAGCCAAUGAGGGCUGGAGUAGUAGUCGGGUCGGUGACGACCGGCGAAUGCCCGGUGUUGUAUGUU